rnacentral:lncRNA from 1 species
UGGAACAAGUUGGAUUGCUCCGAAUUUCAGUGCCUAUCGGGCAGCCAGUGAACAUUUGUCCAUCUUUAAGGCAUUAAACUGAGAAGAACCACUGAGGAAAGCAUGCCACAGUCUUUCCCAAAAUCCCUGUGUCUUAAGGAACAACCAAGAAGUUAACUGGUCAGGGAAAAGAUUUCUUUUGGAACACAGAAGCCAUCGCUGUGUGCGGAAAUCCAUGACCUGGCCAUGACUUCUACAACCCGGAGGACUUGCCUGGCAUUACCGAAAAGCACAGGGGAAAGAUUCUGUGGCAGAGAAUGAUGGGAGUUGUGAUCCAUACCUCCGUGUGCAUAAUGGUUGUACCUGCUCCAGGAAGGCGCUGGAUCCUCCCAACUCCAUGGGAAGAGAUUAGGACACAAACAACAGACAGAAGGUGACCACAGGAGGACACAGUGAGAAGCUGGCCAUCUGCAAGCCAAGGAGAGAGACCUCAGGAGAAACCAAACCUGCCAGCACCUUAAUCUUAGACUUCUAGCCCUCAGAACGGUGAGGAAAUAAAUCUCUGUUGUUCAUGCCACCCAGUCUGUGGUGUUUUGUUAUGGCCACUCUA